GUGGAUUAGAUACCCCGGUAGUCCACGCCGUAAACGUUGGGCGCUAGGUGUGGGGGUCCUUCCACGACCUCCGUGCCGCAGCUAACGCAUUAAGCGCCCCGCCUGGGGAGUACGGCCGCAAGGCUAAAACUCAAAGGAAUUGACGGGGGCCCGCACAAGCGGCGGAGCAUGUGGAUUAAUUCGAUGCGACGCGAAGAACCUUACCAAGGCUUGACAUACAGGGAAAACUGGCAGAGAUGUCAGGUCCGCAAGGGCCCUGUACAGGUGGUGCAUGGCCGUCGACAACU
rnacentral:rRNA from 1 species